rnacentral:lncRNA from 1 species
UAACAACUUGAACAAACAAGAUAAACAAUCACAAGCAGAACAAUAAUAAAUACAGGAAUUCUAAUUAAAAAGCUAAACAAAUGAGCAAACUGGCUUACUUCAAUUUGGAUUUCUCCACUUCAACUGAUAACUGCUUGCCUACUUCACUCCAAACUGUCACUGAACAAGAACAACAAACUAUUAAACACCAAAUUGAACCCCCAAUUCGAAACCCUAAAAAAAUCACAUUCAGUACCCCCAAUUCGAAAACCUAAAAAAUUCGAACCCCAGAUUCUAUAGAGCCCUAAAAUUAACUCUAUAAGAAAGAGACUGGGUUACCUGAUUGAGAGAGAAAACAUGUUGUUGUGUUCGAGAGAGACAGAGAGAAAGAUGGUGAGGUCGAGAGAGAUGGUGAGGUCGAUAGAGAUGGUGACUACGAGAGAGAUGGUGAGGUCGAGAUAGAGAGAGAUGGGUUUCAAACAAAAAGAGAGAGGCGGCUUUCAGACACUUACUGAAAAUGAAAGGGUGUGUUCAGACACUUGGUGAAAAUGAAAUCAAACAAUCCUUGGUUGAUCGUGCAAAGGGUUUGUAACCUAGCUAAUUGGGAAGGGUUGUUCAUCAGACAACAUACAUAUAUUGUCUGAGUUGACCAACUAAUACCAAUCAUUAUUUUAAAUUAACCAAAACACUCAUUUUGGUCAUCAAAGUGUUGACUUUGAAAAGUAUUGGUCACACGACAUAUAUAUGUCAUUUGAAGUGACUAAGCAAGACUCGAUUAACGUUGACCGCAUCGACCGAGACCCGAACUUUAUCAAAAAUGCAUGAAUUUUGUUCUACACCCAUGAUUCACUAUCAUGAUAACAUCUGACACUCAAACUUGAAAAAAAUUUAUUUUCGUCAUUUGAAUCAUAACAUGCAUACUAAUGUGCUAUAACAUGUUUACCAAGUUCUUUGUAAACAUACAUCUUUAUAAAUGAACUAUAUGCAAGAAACAAAAUUUACCUAAUAUGACCGUUGGAUAUGAUCGCAGUACUUAAAUAUGUAUGUGGAAGAAACUUUACCCAUUUUCGAUAACUUAUAGGUCUCGAUCAUUAGAGUCAACUUCAAUUAUACAUAAAACGUUCAUAUUCUUCCUCAUGGGGAGUGAUAUGAUCGGUUGAUAAACGUGUCCAAAUGUUCACAUAAAAUAGUUUCGUUGACACUAAAUGAGGGUAUA